rnacentral:lncRNA from 1 species
AGGCCUGUCUACACUUGCUGUCUUCCUUCCUCACCUCCAAUUUCCUCUUCAACCCACUGCUUCCUGACUCGCUCUACUCCGUGGAAGCACGCUCACAAAGGGCUAAUCUCGGGCCUUGUCGAAGGAAGAGGCUGCAGACGUUAAUGAGGUUAGCUGCUGGAUUCCAGUAUUCGUCGCAUAAGGAUCCUUCUUUGUCUGCGAAGGAAAAACACACUGAUUAUCAUAAUGAGUUCCUGACCUGGCCAUCCCGGGGUGCCCUUGACCAGCCCCGUGUCUCCUCAGGGUGUCCCAGCACCAGCCUGGCACAGAGUGGGGCUCAGUUAGAGUAUGUGGGAUGUUGGUUUCGCCAGCUGCUGGGGCCCACCUCCCAUGCCGAGGACCAGCAGGGGAAACCUCCAGGGAGCAUCUGCAGGCUCUGCUUCUGCCCGGCUGCUGGCUUGCUCUCCCUGGUGGCUCUCCAGCGGCCAGCUUCCUCACCCACCCGGCACUCCGCUUUGCUCUGUCUCCUGAGGUUCCCAGUGCCCCCGACAAGCCCCUGCUGGUGUCUCCAUCUCCUGCCAAGCAUCCUCCAGUGCCUCCUCCUGUGGGCCUGGCCUCAGGGCUAUGGACAGACUCCUGUCCCAUCCCAGAGACCCCUCGUGAUCGUGCCCUGGCACGUGGGCCGUGGCCCGGCUGGGUCGGCUGAAGAACUGCGGAUG